rnacentral:snoRNA from 1 species
UGAAUAUAAUUAGAACCGGUUAUUCAGCAAAUCAAAUUAUUCAGAUAUAUAUAAAAUGAAUCGACAUAUUUUAAUUGUGAGAAUAUUGUCAUGAAAAACACAAAUCAAACAAUCGAAUUAUUUCCAAAGCUGCGAUAAAA